UACGAAGGGGGGCUAGCGUUGUUCGGAUUUACUGGGCGUAAAGCGCACGUAGGCGGAUCGAUCAGUCGGGGGGUGAAAUCCCAGAGCUCAACUCUGGAACUGCCUUUGAUACUGUCGAUCUGGAGUAUGGAAGAGGUGAGUGGAAUUCCGAGUGUAGAGGUGAAAUUCGUAGAUAUUCGGAGGAACACCAGUGGCGAAGGCGGCUCACUGGUCCAUUACUGACGCUGAGGUGCGAAAGCGUGGGGAGCAAACAGG
rnacentral:rRNA from 1 species